rnacentral:lncRNA from 1 species
UUUAAGAAAGUCAAAUCAUUAAAUAUAUAUAAGCCAAACAAUUGAGUGCAUGACAUGAAGGCUUAUAUAAUUCCAAAUGAAAGGGAGAGCUUUAACUCCAAAAUUUAUUGUUUCACACCUUUCAAGCUUGGAUAAAUUAAAUAACCAGACACUUGAAUUCAUUUAUAGAUCGUAUUUCCUUGUUUAUUGAGCAAUUCACUUUACAUAUACUCAAUAUUUUGUCAUCAUCAAAAAGGGGGAGAUUGUGGAGUGAUUGAUUAAAACCCUAUUUGAUUUUGAUGAGCUCAAAGCAUUUGAGUAUAUCUUUUGUUUACUAAUGAAUUCAAUUGAGUGUUUCAGUGGAAAUCUUGUCUAAGUGUUUCUA